GAUGAACGCUGGCGGCGUGCUUAACACAUGCAAGUCGAACGAAACACCUUAUUUGAUUUUCUUCGGAACUGAAGAUUUGGUGAUUGAGUGGCGGACGGGUGAAUAACGCGUGGGUAACCUGCCCUGUACAGGGGGAUAACAGUCAGAAAUGACUGCUAAUACCGCAUAAGACCACAGCACCGCAUGGUGCAGGGGUAAAAACUCCGGUGGUACAGGAUGGACCCGCGUCUGAUUAGCUGGUUGGUGAGGUAACGGCUCACCAAGGCGACGAUCAGUAGCCGGCUUGAGAGAGUGAACGGCCACAUUGGGACUGAGACACGGCCCAAACUCCUACGGGAGGCAGCAGUGGGGAAUAUUGCACAAUGGGGGAAACCCUGAUGCAGCGACGCCGCGUGAGUGAAGAAGUAUCUCGGUAUGUAAAGCUCUAUCAGCAGGGAAGAAAAUGACGGUACCUGACUAAGAAGCCCC
rnacentral:rRNA from 1 species